ensembl:snRNA U6 U6 spliceosomal RNA
GUGCUCGCUUCAGCAGCACAUAUGCUUUGGAGCAAUACGGAGAAGAUUAGUAUGGUCCCUGCACAAGGAUGACAUGCAACCUUGUGAAACCCUCCUUCCAUAC